rnacentral:rRNA from 1 species
GACGAACGCUGGCGGCGUGCUUAACACAUGCAAGUCGAACGGAAAGGCCCUGCUUUUGUGGGGUGCUCGAGUGGCGAUCGGGUGAGUAACACGUGAGUAUCCUGCCCUUGACUUUCGGAUAACUUCACGAAACUGGGGCUAAUCUCGGAUAGGAUCUCCUGCUCUAUUGUGGGGGUUGGAAAGUUUCGGCUGUUGGGGAUGGAAUCGCGGCUUUCUGGUUUAUUGGUGGGGUAGUUGCUUACCAAGGCUUUGAAGGGUAGCCGGCCUGAGAGGGUGACCGGCCACAGUGGGACUAAGAUAGGGACCAGACUGGUACAGGGGGCAGAAGUGGGAAAUAUUGCACAAAGGGAGGGAGCCGGAUGAAACAACGCCGCGGGCGGGAAGACGGACUGUGGGGUAUAAACCGCAUUAGCCUGUGACGAAGCGGGAGUGACGGUAAUGGAUGAAGAAGCACCGGCUAACUACGUG